GGGCUUAUGGUCUAGUUGGUUUCAUAGGGGGGUAGAACCCCUUUAUGCCACAAAUGACGUCGCUCUCACACAGCGGAGGUCGCCGGUUCGAAUCCGGCUAAGCCCACCA
rnacentral:tRNA from 1 species